rnacentral:rRNA from 1 species
UACGUAGGGAGCAAGCGUUGUCCGGAAUCAUUGGGCGUAAAGCGCGCGUAGGUGGCUUCGUAAGUCCGUUGUGAAAGUCAAAGGCUCAACCUUUGAAAGCCGAUGGAUACUGUGGAGCUAGAGUACGGAAGAGGCGAGUGGAAUUCCUGGUGUAGCGGUGGAAUGCGCAGAUAUCAGGAGGAACACCGGUGGCGAAGGCGGGUCUCUGGGCCGAUACUGACGCUGAGGAGCGAAAGCGUGGGGAGCGAACAGG